rnacentral:tRNA from 1 species
GGAGAGGUGACCGAGUGGCUUAAGGUGCACGCCUGGAAAGCGUGUGUAGGGAAACCUACCGAGGGUUCGAAUCCCUCCCCCUCCGCCA